rnacentral:rRNA from 1 species
CGUGAUAAGGGGACACCGAGUGCCAGCAUCAUAUGCUGGCUGUCCAGGUGUGUAAAAUACACCUGUUAGCAAGGGCCGGGCAAGACCGGUGCCAGCCGCCGCGGUAACACCGGCGGCCCGAGUGGUGAUCGUGAUUAUUGGGUCUAAAGGGUCCGUAGCCGGUUUGGUCAGUCCUCCGGGAAAUCUGACGGCUCAACCGUUAGGCUUUCGGGGGAUACUGCCAGGCUUGGAACCGGGAGAGGUAAGAGGUACUACAGGGGUAGGAGUGAAAUCUUGUAAUCCCUGUGAGACCACCUGUGGCGAAGGCGUCUUACCAGAACGGGUUCGACGGUGAGGGACGAAAGCUGGGGGCACGAACCGGAUUAGAUACCCGGGUAGUCCCAGCCGUAAACGAUGCUCGCUAGGUGUCAGGCAUGGCGCGACCGUGUCUGGUGCCGCAGGGAAGCCGUGAAGCGAGCCACCUGGGAAGUACGGCCGCAAGGCUGAAACUUAAAGGAAUUGGCGGGGGAGCAC